rnacentral:sRNA from 12 species
AGUUGGCCUACUGCACAGGAACGGGUUUCCCACGCAGCGCCAAGGGGGAUGAGCCUCGCCAGCAGCGGCCAAGGCCGGAAAGGCGAAACACACAGCGUCGGGUAGAGUUUGGUAGGGUCCUCGGAUCUCGAAGAAGUCAGGCCCA